UAUCUCUGUAGAGUCUGCAUAUCAAUAAGCGGAGGAAAAGAAACUAACAAGGAUUCCCCUAGUAACGGCGAGUGAAGCGGGAAGAGCUCAAAUUUGAAAUCUUCAAGGUUUGACCUUGACGAAUUGUAGUUUAAAGAAGUGUUUUCGGUUAGAGGAGUAGUAAAAGUUCUUUGGAGUAGGACAUCAUAGAGGGUGAGAAUCCCGUAUUUGACUAUUCUUUCUAGCUUUGUGAUACACUUUCAAAGAGUCAGAUUGUUUGGGAAUGCAGUCCAAAAUGGGUGGUAAAUUUCAUCUAAAGCUAAAUAUUGGCGAGAGACCGAUAGCGAACAAGUACCGUGAGGGAAAGAUGAAAAGAACUUUGAAAAGAGAGUUAAACAGUACGUGAAAUUGUCAAAAGGGAAGCGUUUGACACCAGUGUUGUUUUUCCGAAAAUCAAUUAAAAAUUGAUUCAUGCCAGGUUGUAUUGACCUUAUCAGCUUGCAAUUUGGUUUUGGGUCUCUUUUUGAUGCACUUUUCGGUUAACAAGUCAACAUCAAUUUCCUUUGCUGUAAAAAGGUAAGAGGAAGGUGGCUUCAAUUUCGGUUGAAGUGUUUAUAGCCUUUUAUCUCUGCAGUCGGGGAGAUUGAGGUCUGCAGCGUAGAUCCUUCGGGGCUAGAUACAUUUAUGCUAAGUUAUAGCUUUUCAUAGACAACUUGUUGACUAUGUUUAGUCAUGUAGCUUACUCGUAAGUGCUAUUUUACCUACGCUUAGGAUGUUGAGCGCAUGUCUCUCUCU
rnacentral:rRNA from 1 species